AUCCCUUAUUUCGACUCCCUAUCCGUAUCCAAUGGAUCACCAUACCCAUAGAAGCUAUAUCUGCUAGAUUCAUUGCAUUCCCAACAAUAGCAACAAAUUGCAACAAUGUCAUCAGUUUUAGUACUUAUCACUUGUCAACUUACUCUGCUCUGCUCUGCUCUUCUGUUCGCUCAUUCACUAACCACUUAACACACAAGUGUUGAGUGUUAGUUUAAUCGGAGGCGCAGCGUGGUUGACGUGAGACGUUGUGUUACUUCUCUGGCUCAACAAACAAACAAACUUCAGCCAUUUGUUGUCGUCGACGUCGUCGUCGUUGGCCGUCCGUCAGUCAUAUCAGUCUUUGGGGAAACCGUGAACAAACCGCAACAACUCCAUCGAAAUUCUGUAAAACAACGAUCAAAUGUUUGCAGUCAGUCAUCGAGAGAGCCAGCGAGCGAGCGAGCGACAACGAUCAGCACGCGAGUGAUUGACGCGAAACGAAACGGCAAAGUGAUUUCUAGUAAACGACAAAUUAUAUACAGUAUAUUUUCAAAAAAAAAAAAAAAAAAAAAAAAAAGAACAGAAAACAAAGCUUCCAUACGUGUCGGGGGAAUAAAACAUCGUUCCAUAUUUGAGAGUGUGUCUGUCGCACGCCCAAGAUUGAUUUGUGUCUUCUUUGGGGAUGCUGUGAAAUAUUUUAAAUUCUGUGUGGGUGUUAAUGAGAUUGUCACAUACAUAAAAAUAUAGAGUAUAUUCCAAGUGAACGGAAAGUAGAAAUAAAUAUUCAAAAUAUAAUAAAAAA